rnacentral:tRNA from 1 species
AGCAGAAUGAAGUCUUUGGACAUUUACUUUGGGAGUAAAAGGAUUAGCUUCUGAAA